AGGAUUUGACAUGGGGAGGCUUGGCACAGAGAUGUGUCUUUCCCGCAAGGGACCUCCCGCAC
rnacentral:rRNA from 1 species